rnacentral:lncRNA from 1 species
ACCUCAGAAAAUCACAAAUCAACCAUAAUAGAGCAGGAGCCGACCUCAACAAAAUAUGAGUCAACCACAGAAUGGUCUCAAGGUGAAGAUAGAAAGUAGUGAAAAAUAGCUUGUUCCUGAAUUGAUCCUAAUACUUCAUGAGUUAAUCCCAGCUUUAGUUGAGUUGACUUCUUAAAUGGCCAUAGUUAGAAAAUAGAGAUCUACCCCA